AGAUCUAGCCCUCCUUUCUCAUAA
rnacentral:siRNA from 1 species